rnacentral:rRNA from 1 species
UGGGGAAUAUUGCGCAAUGGGGGGAACCCUGACGCAGCCAUGCCGCGUGAAUGAAGAAGGCCUUAGGGUUGUAAAGUUCUUUCGGUAUUGAGGAAGGUUGAUGUGUUAAUAGCACAUCAAAUUGACGUUAAAUACAGAAGAAGCACCGGCUAACUCCGUGCCAGCAGCCGCGGUAAUACGGAGGGUGCGAGCGAGCGUUAAUCGGAAUAACUGGGCGUAAAGGGCACGCAGGCGGUUAUUUAAGUGAGGUGUGAAAGCCCCGGGCUUAACCUGGGAAUUGCAUUUCAGACUGGGUAACUAGAGUACUUUAGGGAGGGGUAGAAUUCCACGUGUAGCGGUGAAAUGCGUAGAGAUGUGGAGGAAUACCGAAGGCGAAGGCAGCCCCUUGGGAAUGUACUGACGCUCAUGUGCGAAAGCGUGGGGAGCAAACAGGAUUAGAUACCCUGGUAGUCCACGCUGUAAACGCUGUCGAUUUGGGGGUUGGGGUUUAACUCUGGCGCCCGUAGCUAACGUGAUAAAUCGACCGCCUGGGGAGUACGGCCGCAAGGUUA